AACGAACGCUGGCGGCAGGCUUAACACAUGCAAGUCGAACGAGAUCUUCGGAUCUAGUGGCAGACGGGUGAGGAACACGUGGGAACAUCCCUUUCAGUUCGGAAUAACGUUGGGAAACUAACGCUAAUACCGGAUACGUCCUUCGGGAGAAAGAUUUAUCGCUGAAAGAUUGGCCCGCGUCUGAUUAGCUAGUUGGUGAGGUAAUGGCUCACCAAGGCUACGAUCAGUAGCUGAUCUGAGAGGAUGAUCAGCCACAUUGGGACUGAGACACGGCCGAAUCUCCUAGGGGAGUCAGCAGUAGGGAAUCUUCCGCAAUGGACGCGAGUCUGACGGAGCAACGCCGCGUGAGUGAUGAAGGCCCUAGGGUUGUAAAGCUCUUUCGGCGGGGACGAUAAUGACGGUACCCGCAGAAGAAGCCCCGGCUAACUUCGUGCCAGCAGCCGCGGUAA
rnacentral:rRNA from 1 species